UACGUAGGGGGCUAGCGUUGUCCGGAAUCAUUGGGCGUAAAGCGUGUGUAGGCGGUCCGGUAAGUCCGCUGUGAAAGUCGAGGGCUCAACCCUCGAAUGCCGGUGGAUACUGUCGGGCUUGAGUACGGGAGAGGCGAGUGGAAUUCCCGGUGUAGCGGUGGAAUGCGUAGAGAUCGGGAGGAACACCAAUGGCGAAGGCAGCUCGCUGGAACGGUACUGACGCUGAGGCGCGAAAGCGUGGGGAGCGAACAGG
rnacentral:rRNA from 1 species